GAUGAACGCUGGCGGCGUGCCUAAUACAUGCAAGUCGAGCGAACGGACGAGAAGCUUGCUUCUCUGAUGUUAGCGGCGGACGGGUGAGUAACACGUGGAUAACCUACCUAUAAGACUGGGAUAACUUCGGGAAACCGGAUCUAAUACCGGAUGAUAUUUUGAACCGCAUGGUUCAAAAGUGAAAGACGGUCUUGCUGUCACUUAUAGAUGGAUCCGCGCUGCAUUAGCUAGUUGGUAAGGUAACGGCUUGCCAAGGCAACGAUGCAUAGCCGACCUGAGAGGGUGAUCGGCCACACUGGAACUGAGACACGGUCCAGACUCCUACGGGAGGCAGCAGUAGGGAAUCUUCCGCAAUGGGCGAAAGCCUGACGGAGCAACGCCGCGUGAGUGAUGAAGGUCUUCGGAUCGUAAAACUCUGUUAUUAGGGAAGAACAUAUGUGUAAGUAACUGUGCACAUCUUGACGGUACCUAAUCAGAAAGCCACGGCUAACUACGUG
rnacentral:rRNA from 1 species